rnacentral:rRNA from 1 species
CCAAGGAGUCUAACAUGCAUGCGAGUCUACGGGGAACUGCAAACCCCAAAGGCGUAAUGAAGGUGAAGCAGGUCCACCUGUCUUGGCAGGAUCCCGGCUCCCAGCGAGCCCGGGCUGCACUGCCGGCCCGUCCAACGAUCGCCCCGUCGAUCGGGCGGAGCUAGAGCAUGCAUGUUGGGACCCGAAAGAUGGUGAACUAUGCCUGGGCAGGACGAGGCCAGAGGAAACUCUGGUGGAAGUCCGUAGCGAUUCUGACGUGCAAAUCGAUCGUCGGACCUGGGUAUAGGGGCGAAAGACUAAUCGAACCAUCUA